UGGCUUGUUCUUGCGUCUUGAUGAAUUUAUAUAAUUCUCUUUGAUCUACUGGCGGUGGCUCCAAACGCGUUUGGUUGCGAUUUUUUUGAAAUUGGUGGAGUGGAGUGAUUUUUGCUGGAGUGAAGUGCUCCCAAACAGACCCUUAGUUGUGGUUGUGGGUGUUGCUUCAGUUGGAUCGUGGUUCAAUUGCUUUCUGUUCUUGGUGGUGCUGGUCCUGUGAUUCAGCUUGCUUACCUUAUGAUGCAUUCAAUUACUGCUCAACAAGGAUCUGCAAGUGAUUAUUCAAACUUGACCUUGACAUUGCCCAGAAAUGCACUGAAAACACUACAUCUAUGACAUUGCUGGAGGCGGUGCGGGACACGGUCCAUCCCUCGCGUGACCAACCCUCCCCGUGCUCACCACGCACUACUGCCGCUCGCCCUGGCAGACAGCUGCUCCCUCGAGUCGCACGCCUUACCCGCCACCUCAACCUAAGGGGUGAAGGAGAGAGGAGGAAGGGGAAAGGAAACAAGGAGCCAAGUGUCUCCUUGCAGUCAACCAUGAUCAGUGAGGGCAUGGCGCCAGGGAGGGGGACAUCUAGCAAUUGGAGGCUCGAUUUUGCACUUGAUUGGAAUGAUUUGGACUGGAUUAUAGAAGAUAAGAAGAAAAGGAGGAAGCACUUUUGCUCAUGACGGCUAGAGGCAUUGUAGCUAGCGCUAGAAGUGGGAAUGAGGCUAGGCACAGGGAAGACGAGCGCUAGCUUGCUUGGGCGAUGACGAGGAUGGGACAAGAUGCGGGUGGCGCCAAUGGACGAAGAGGCAAUGGUUGGAUGAUGAUGAGUACGGAGAAAAUCGAAUGAAUGGAUACAACAAAGGUUAAGUGGUGAUUUUUUUAUUUCUAUGUGUGGAUCCCAUGUUUUAAACAGAUGGUAUCAAACCAUCCACAAAUAUCUUCUAUUACUAUAGUUGUAAAGAAAGAACUACUAAGGAUAACGUAUCAACAUAUUGUGAAGCGAAACCAAUAUAUUAAAAAUAAGCGCGAAACCAAUAUAUUAAAAAUAAGCGAAUAAUAACGUUGAGAGCGAACAGGAACCAUUUUUUUCGACGGGGGAAUUCGCCUCGGCCACGCCAGAGUUGCGGUACUACGACUGGGAAAACAAAACGGUGGAUCGGACGGACGAGGCCACGCCUCUGACGUCGAUGACAAAGAUCCGAGCCGUUAACCUCUCCGGGCCCACCAGCCAGAGUCCCACCCGCACCCGCUGACGAGCGCCGGGCUCUCGCUCCCCCCCCCCGCCCCAAAUCGACGCCACCCGCCUCAUGAUCCGCGCACCUCGACUCCUCGCCGAGCACUGGUCAUCGCCAAUCCGCCGCCGCCUCCCGCUCUCCCCGACCCCGCGUGGUUCCUGCCGACUCGCCCUCCCGCCGCGCGCUGCCUUCCGGGUCGCCCAAACCCUAGCCCCGGCUCCGCGCCUCGCGCCGUCCCGCCUCGGCCUGCUGAUGGAUCCGGCCGCGCCCGCCCCCGUCCAGGCUACCGCCGCUGAAGCCGAUGCCUACGAGGACGCCGCGGAAUUCGAGGACGCGGAGGCUGCCGGCGACGACGCAGGGCCCGGGCGACGACGGCGGGCGGUGGCGAGGAGGUGAGCUAGGGAGCUGCCCGAGGAGCUCGCCAAGGGGGUCGUGUGCCUCGAGUGCGUGACGUCGGCCGAGGCGGCGGCUGCCGGGGUUGGCGGGACCUCCCGCGCCUACGUCGUCGGCACUGCUCAUGUGUUGCAGGUGAGCUGGUGUUAUCAGUUAAGGUCCACCGAUGUGAUUUAUCAACUGUUCGAAUUGGGUUGUCAGAACGCAAGUUCUGCGUGUAGGCAUUGCAUCGGAUUUAGAGGACACUGAAUGCUCAGAUUAUACUUCUCGUGGGGCUGUGUGGCGGUAAUGUUACUUGGGAGACAAAUUGGUCCAAAUUAUAUAUUAGAAUUGUAAAAAUCCUGGUAAAAAAAAUUAGAAGAGCGAAACAGGCGGAGCUUGUACUGCAUAGCCACGAAGUGAAAUAACUCAAUCUCUCAAGCCAUGGCUUGGCUAUUUGACGCUUGAUUUUAUUGCAGGAAUCUUGCGAUCAAGUGAAGGCCGUCAUCAACUGCCUGAAACCUCAGGUUCUUCCUCUAUCUGCUCAUCAUCAGUAAAUUUUGCAAGUGGUGGAUUUUGGCAGGUUUGCUGCCUGCUUUCGACUUUCGAGUGUACUUUUAUUGUUUGAUGUUGUAGGAUAUGUUCCUCUAAUUCCUUUGCAUCUCUCUUGCAUAUAUAGGCUGUUUUCUUGGAGCUCUGUGCCAGCAGGCCGGAUUGCAAUUUUGGCACCACAAAACCUUCAGGUGUCUACUCUCAACAUUUAUCACGUUAAGGAGGACCUGGGGAAAGAUGUCACUCUGGCACAGGGCAAAAUUUCUGUACUACAUUAUUUUCCAAUCAAUUUUUUUACCAAGCCCGGAGGAACUUAACAAAAUGGUAUGCUGUUCUAAUGGUUCAUUCCGUCCAUGUCACCGGGAAAUUUCACAGUUCCUUUAUAUACCACUUAUUUGAUGUCAGUGCGACACACUGGAUUUAAUCUAACUUUUAAAAUUUUUAGAGUUAACAUACAAAGAAAUCAUUGUUAUUGCAUUCA